UGGGGAAUAUUGCACAAUGGAGGGAACUCUGAUGCAGCGACGCCGCGUGAACGAAGAAGGCUUUCGAGUCGUAAAGUUCUUUUUUAUGGGAAGAUAAUGACGGUACCAUAAGAAAAAGCCCCGGCUAACUACGUGCCAGCAGCCGCGGUAAUACGUAGGGGGCUAGCGUUGUCCGGAAUCACUGGUCGUAAAGGGUUCGCAGGCGGAAAUGCAAGUCAGGUGUGAAAGGCAGUAGCUUAACUACUGUAAGCAUUUGAAACUGCAUAUCUUGAGAAGAGUAGAGGUAAGUGGAAUUUUUAGUGUAGCGGUGAAAUGCGUAGAUAUUAAAAAGAAUACCGGUGGCGAAGGCGACUUACUGGGCUCAUUCUGACGCUGAGGAACGAAAGCGUGGGUAGCAAACAGG
rnacentral:rRNA from 1 species